rnacentral:tRNA from 1 species
GCCCGUCUAGCUCAGUGUUGGUAGAGCGCAGCGCUCUAUCCUUGUGGUCGUGGGUUCGAGCCCCACGGUGGGCG